CUUGUGUCCAUAUCACCUUGAAACACCAGCUCUCAUACAAUCACCAAAGUUAAGCAACAUCAAGUGUGGUCAAUGCCUAGAUGGGUGACCACUUGGGAAUACCAGGUUGUG